GAUGAACGCUGGCGGCGUGCCUAAUACAUGCAAGUCGAGCGAAUGGAUUGAGAGCUUGCUCUUAUGAAGUUAGCGGCGGACGGGUGAGUAACACGUGGGUAACCUGCCCAUAAGACUGGGAUAACUCCGGGAAACCGGGGCUAAUACCGGAUAACAUUUUGAACCGCAUGGUUCGAAAUUGAAAGGCGGCUUCGGCUGUCACUUAUGGAUGGACCCGCGUCGCAUUAGCUAGUUGGUGAGGUAACGGCUCACCAAGGCAACGAUGCGCAGCCGACCUGAGAGGGUGAUCGGCCACACUGGGACUGAGACACGGCCCAGACUCCUACGGGAGGCAGCAGUAGGGAAUCUUCCGCAAUGGACGAAAGUCUGACGGAGCAACGCCGCGUGAGUGAUGAAGGCUUUCGGGUCGUAAAACUCUGUUGUUAGGGAAGAACAAGUGCUAGUUGAAUAAGCUGGCACCUUGACGGUACCCAACCAGAAAGCCACGGCUAACUACGUGCCAGCCGCCGCCGUAA
rnacentral:rRNA from 1 species